CUUCAGGGGCAAUUUAGUCAUUUUCAUACGUGGGUCCCACAUGUCAUAGCUCAUUCUGUAACAGAAGGUGGAUGGAAUGGCACACGGAUAAAUGAAAUUUUGUGUCAUGGCAUACAGGUGACUCAAAACUUUUUUUUGUGGCACACGCGUAACCUCCAACUUUCUUAAUGGCAUAUGGGUAAAAGACUCCUGCUCCUUCGCUUCGCUUCUGUUCGUCUCUCCGCCGUGCGCCGUCCGUCGUCCGCCAUGGAGGUUGCUGGCCCUCCUCCGUUGACCAGCGCUUCCCCUAGCCCCUGCCGCUCAACACCAACUGUGGCCGGAUCUAGUUGUUUGGCGGCUCGCGAGAAAGAAGUUUUGGUGGUCUAGAUCUGGUCAGUUCAUCCUCCCUUUCGAGCUGAUCUCUCACCACCGAGCCUUUUCCCCACAUCCCUUCUCGUCGUUCGGUUUGAGGUGGUCAGAUCUACCGGCGGCAAAGCUGCUGGAUGCCCUCACUUCGUGUGGCUGUGAGAUCAUCGGGGUUAGAACUGCCAGAAUCGCUUGGACUCGAGGAAGAAGGAGAGCGAGCAAGACGAGGGAUGCAAAUGGGCGACGACCUGGGUGUGGAGCGGUGACCCCAGCUAUCGGAUGCAGCAGUUUGCACGCGCGGGUGCAACACGGAGCACGCGCUCAGCCUGGCUGAGUAGCGAAGUUUGCCCGAAUCGGGCGUUCCUCCGGAGCCUGGCUGGCGACCGCUUUUUGCACGCGCUGGGCCUGGCUGGGAGGUCCAUGCAAGCAACCAACAAGGUAAAUUUGUAUGCAUAGGUGCGGGCCAAGCCUGAUGCAGGCAACCAAACAGACCCUCAGUCCAUCUGCACAUUGAAAAUGCUCAAGGUCCAAGAGAUGUGAUAGUAUAUCAGAUGGCAUGCCAUUGACUUGUGUGCCAGAAGAUUCUAUGAAGUAAAAAACUAAAAUGCUUGAUUUUUCUUUGCUCUCUAUGGUUUAUAUUCAAAUUUUUCUCUACUGAUAGAUUAAUAUCACUUUUGAACAGCUCUACUAAACAAUUAAUUUAAUUUGUGUGAAUUUUAUGUUGGUGUCAAAAUUUGGCACUUUAAGACCUUGGCAUAGCAAUUUCAUUCUUUGUAUCCCCUGCUCUAAGUUGGUAUCAUUUCAGUUUACUUGCUUUAUAAUUACUAAACUUGAAGGUCGACAUGCACUUCACUGGGAAAUUUUAAGUGAAACCCUGAAUCCCUCAAAUCUCCUAUUGAACUUUAUCAUGAAUUGCUAAAGUUGCUGAUUUUCUUGAGUAGGAACCAAGCUAUUCACUUAAAAUUCAUGUACUAGCCUCUCAAAAUUUGUAUGAAUAUUGGGGUUUUAUUUUAAGAGCAAAUUAGAUCAGAGUUCAGAGUCUACUCAUGCUGCUUGCUGUUGGGUAUACCUCCCAGGGAAGGGAUGCUCUUAUCCAUCUUCCAGGAAAUUGGUGGUAGCUGAUUUCAAAUGCGAAAUUAGUUAUUAUUGUUUCUGUUCUAAUAGAAAUUGAUUUCACCGAGUCAAUAACUUGCCAUAUUUAUUUAUUUACUCUUAAAUUCCAUUCUUAUGAAUGAUUUGACAAACAAUUUUUUCCUUGUCACAGAACAAGCAUGUAAACGUGUUUGUUUACACAAUACAUGAAACAAUAUGUAGAAUCAUACUUUACACUGCCAUUUUCUCCAAAGAGGCUGUGAUAAGCACUUCUGCAUCCACUUGAACUCAUAUAUACUUGUGUGCCCUUUAAUUUUGUAGGAUAAUUAUAUGAAAGAAGCCCCUCUAUAUCUGGAGUUAGGGAGCACAUUUUUACUAGCAGAAAUGGUGAACAUGGAGUAGUGCCAUAUUAUGUCAAGAGUUAUCUUAAUCUAACAGAGGAUACACCGUCAACUAUAUCUUUCUCCAUCGCACUCUCUAAAAUAUAUAUUUAUCAGGAAGAUGUUUGUAGAACUUAUUGAUUUGGGUAAUAUUUAUUCGUCGAUGUCAACCAUUUCUUGUCCACAAUGAAUGGUUGAUCGUAUUCAAGAUGACAAAGCCAUAUUUAUGCUUCAUAGUUUGAGACUACUAUAUGCAGGAAAAAACAAAGCAAUCUGAACGCAACACAGAUUCAACAGGAUGAUCCAAUGACAACAGUGAACACUAUGGGUUAAGGUGGUGCGCCAAGCCGCCAAGGGCGCGCGCCCCAGAUCCUAGUAUCCUUCAACUUCAAGAUGAAAGACGUAAAUGAACCCAUGUAUGAACAUGCCUACAUCUAAUAGGCAUCCAACUAUGCAAGGAAAGCCUAUUUAGCCUCCAUUAACUCUUGCUUUUGAUUGAAUAGUAUCUCUCAACUCCAAAACGGGGUAUAACGUCUACCCAUCUUUAAAAACCAGUGCAAAUCGUCUUCUUCGGUGCCUUCAAAAGUAGUUUUCUGCUGACAUGGCAGGUUGACUGUGGUUGAGUCAUGUUUCAUGUAGGACCCAGCGAGUCCUCACUUAUCUUCUUCCUCAACUCUCUUUGACGAUGGCGUGCCUCCUCUCCACAUCGCGGAAAACGGCUGCCUGCUACGUCACGUACUCGCGUGGCUCAUGCGGUGGGGAGGGCAUCGACGGCCGCCUGUGGCUGUGCCCUGCGACCGGCGCGGCCGAGUGAUUUCCUAUCACUCCAGCUGUCCCGCGUGUCCCCGCACCUUCCGCGAAGCUUCCUCUCCUGCCUGCGCGUUGACGGGUUUCCAACUUUCCAAGUAGUACAACAAAUUUGGGGCUACUCCUAUAAAAGAUGGGAGUAAACGCCGCGUACGACGCAUCUAAAUCAAGGGAGUUUCCUCGAUUACGUCAAAAAGAGGUUUCGAGAGUUUCCUCGAAGCACACCCGACGCCGGCGCCGGCGGCGAGGUGUCAGUCGAUCGUGGGUUCCGGCUGUAGAGCAUCUUCCUUCUGCUGUGGCGAUCGUCGAGCGAUCGAGCGAUCUUCUGUUCAAUCUCAUCUCCUUCGGCGAUCCGAUCCGGCAUAGCUCCCCGCCUCCUCUCUUCUCCUCUUCUUGUUUCUGCUCAUGGGAAGUGAAUCCCUCCUCGGGUCGGCUUCUCUGAACGCGACUGUGAAUCAAUUGAACCAACAAACUAAAUACUUACAGUAUAUGUGUCCUCCUGAUCUGGGCUUCUAACAGCCGCAGAUGCUGCUGCACUGACUGAGAAUAAUGAUUACUAGCCUGGAAGACGAUAAAGCAACUGGCCAGGCCUGCUGCUGCUCUUCGACAUGCCUAGAACCACAAUUGCAUCCGAAAUUUUCAGGUUACAAGAAAUUUUCUUUCUUUGCCGAUAUAAUCUGUCCAAAAGGAGUGGUUAGUCCUUCCAAGGUUAUCUUCCCCGGAGAAAAUUAAAGCUCGGAUUGCUCACGUAAUCCGCCCACAUAGGCGCCAUUUACUGCAGCACGGAUGCUUCUUCAGUCUUCACUUCACAUCCGCAGCCUUGCAUCCUGAAGGUAUGCUCCCCUGUCUCACAUUGUCACAUUUGAAUGUGCUUUUCUAUGAUUAUAUUGUGUUUCUAUAUAAUAUUAUAGUAUAUGAAAAAUAUAAAAGUAAAAAACUAUUCAUGUCAAGUUUAGGAAGCAAUUAUUAUUAUGUGUGAAAGGGAAAGACGAAUUGAAGAGAUUCUGAACUAAUCCACGCGUGCAACUUGGGGUUAA